rnacentral:rRNA from 1 species
UGACCGCGGCUGCUGGCACGGAGUUAGCCGGCCCUUAUUCAAUCGGUACCGUCAAAGUCUGUCAAAACAAACCUUUUCUUCCCGAUUAAAAGCAGUUUACGACCCGUAGGGCCUUCAUCCUGCACGCGGCAUGGCUGGUUCAGGCUUGCGCCCAUUGACCAAGAUUCCCUACUGCUGCCUCCCGUAGGAGUUUGGCCCGUGUCUCAGUGCCAAUGUGGCUGACCAUCCUCUCAGAUCAGCUACCCAUCGUGGCCUUGGUGAGCUCUUAUCUCACCAACUAGCUAAUGGGCCGCAUGCCCAUCCUUAACCGCCGGAGCUUUCAUAAUAAACAGAGGCCUGUCUAUUAUGGUAUGGUGUAUUAACCUCGAUUUCUCGAGGCUAUCCACCUGUUAAGGGUAGGUUGCAUACGUGUUACUCACCCGUUCGCCGGUCGCCGGCAUCCCCGAAGGAAUCCGCUGCCCCUCGACUUGCAUGUAUUAAGCCUGCCGCUAGCGUUCAUCCUGAGCCAUGAUCAAACUC